CAGUCGCCGCGGUAAUACGUAGGGUGCAAGCGUUAAUCGGAAUUACUGGGCGUAAAGCGUGCGUAGGCGGCUUUUUAAGUCGGAUGUGAAAUCCCUGAGCUUAACUUAGGAAUUGCAUUCGAUACUGGGAAGCUAGAGUAUGGGAGAGGAUGGUAGAAUUCCAGGUGUAGCGGUGAAAUGCGUAGAGAUCUGGAGGAAUACCGAUGGCGAAGGCAGCCAUCUGGCCUAAUACUGACGCUGAGGUACGAAAGCAUGGGGAGCAAACAGGAUUAGAUACCCCUGUAGUCCAUGUCUCUUAUAC
rnacentral:rRNA from 1 species